AACGAACGCUGGCGGCAGGCUUAACACAUGCAAGUCGAACGCCCCGCAAGGGGAGUGGCAGACGGGUGAGUAACGCAUGGGAACAUACCCUUUCCUGCGGAAUAGCUCUGGGAAACUGGAAUUAAUACCGCAUACGCCCUACGGGGGAAAGAUUUAUCGGGGAAGGAUUGGCCCGCGUUGGAUUAGCUAGUUGGUGGGGUAAAGGCCUACCAAGGCGACGAUCCAUAGCUGGUCUGAGAGGAUGAUCAGCCACAUUGGGACUGAGACACGGCCCAAACUCCUACGGGAGGCAGCAGUGGGGAAUAUUGGACAAUGGGCGCAAGCCUGAUCCAGCCAUGCCGCGUGAGUGAUGAAGGCCUUAGGGUUGUAAAGCUCUUUCACCGAUGGAGAUAAUGACGGUAGUCGGAGAAGAAGCCCCGGCUAACUUCGUGCCAGCCGCCGCGGUAAGAC
rnacentral:rRNA from 1 species